rnacentral:rRNA from 1 species
CUUUGCUGACGAGCGGCGGACGGGUGAGUAAUGCUUGGGAACAUGCCUUGAGGUGGGGGACAACAGUUGGAAACGACUGCUAAUACCGCAUAAUGUCUACGGACCAAAGGGGGCUUCGGCUCUCGCCUUUAGAUUGGCCCAAGUGGGAUUAGCUAGUUGGUGAGGUAAUGGCUCACCAAGGCGACGAUCCCUAGCUGGUUUGAGAGGAUGAUCAGCCACACUGGGACUGAGACACGGCCCAGACUCCUACGGGAGGCAGCAGUGGGGAAUAUUGCACAAUGGGCGCAAGCCUGAUGCAGCCAUGCCGCGUGUGUGAAGAAGGCCUUCGGGUUGUAAAGCACUUUCAGUCAGGAGGAAAGGUUAGUAGUUAAUACCUGCUAGCUGUGACGUUACUGACAGAAGAAGCACCGGCUAACUCCGUGCCAGCAGCCGCGGUAAUACGGAGGGUGCGAGCGUUAAUCGGAAUUACUGGGCGUAAAGCGUACGCAGGCGGUUUGUUAAGCGAGAUGUGAAAGCCCUGGGCUCAACCUGGGAACUGCAUUUCGAACUGGCAAACUAGAGUGUGAUAGAGGGUGGUAGAAUUUCAGGUGUAGCGGUGAAAUGCGUAGAGAUCUGAAGGAAUACCGAUGGCGAAGGCAGCCACCUGGGUCAACACUGACGCUCAUGUACGAAAGCGUGGGGAGCAAACGGGAUUAGAUACCCCGGUAGUCCACGCCGUAAACGAUGUCUACUAGAAGCUCGGGUCCUCGGACUUGUUUUUCAAAGCUAACGCAUUAAGUAGACCGCCUGGGGAGUACGGCCGCAAGGUUAAAACUCAAAUGAAUUGACGGGGGCCCGCACAAGCGGUGGAGCAUGUGGUUUAAUUCGAUGCAACGCGAAGAACCUUACCUACACUUGACAUACAG